rnacentral:tRNA from 1 species
GGGAAAGUGGCUCAGUGGUAGAGUGCUUGCCUUGCAUGUAUGAGGUCCUAGGUUCAAUUCCUCAGCACCA